rnacentral:rRNA from 1 species
GGUCGAGUGACCUGCGCCGAAAAUUCAACGGGUCUAAGUGAUGAACCGAAGCUCCGGGUCUGCCGAAAGGCAGGCGGUAGGCGAGUAUUGUCUGCGCGGUGAAUGCGUACGGAAACGAGCGUUGGAGUGCAGACAAGAGCUGAUGUUGGCAUGAGUAGCGAUAAACCGGGUGAAAAACCCGGUCGCCGUAAACCCGAGGGUUCCUGGGUAAAGAUCAUCUUCUCAGGGUUAGUCGGUCCCUAAGGCGAGGCAGAAAUGCGUAGUCGAUGGGAAGCAGGCGAACAUUCCUGCACCAGCACGGAUGGUUUUGUAAGGUGGGACGGAGGAGGAUAGCCGAGCGACCUGUUGGAUGGUCGUUCAAGCCGGUAGGCGGUUCGCGUAGGAGGCAUCUGGCCACAAACGCGCGAGCAACGCCGAGAGGUGAUGAGGGUCGCCGCAAGGCGGACAACUCGGUGAGUCCAAGCUUCCAAGAAAAGCAUCGUACAAGUGUACCGCUGUGCUGACCGUACCGUAAACCGACACAGGUGGGUGGGGAGAACAUCCCAAGGCGCUUGAGAGAACUCGGGUUAAGGAACUCGGCAAAUUGACACCGUAACUUCGGGAGAAGGUGUGCCCUUGAGGGUGACGGGCCUCGCGCCAUGAGCCUUUGGGGGUUGCAGAGAAUCGGGGGUAGCGACUGUUUACCAAAAACACAGGACUCUGCGAAGUCGCAAGACGACGUAUAGGGUCUGACGCCUGCCCGGUGCCGGAAGGUUAACAGGAGAUGUCAGCGCAAGCGAAGCAUCGAAUCGAAGCCCCGGUAAACGGCGGCCGUAACUAUAACGGUCCUAAGGUAGCGAAAUUCCUUGGCGGGUAAGUUCCGUCCUGCACGAAUGGCGUAACGACUU